GACGAACGCUGGCGGCGUGCUUAACACAUGCAAGUCGAACGGAAAGGCCCUGCUUUUGUGGGGUGCUCGAGUGGCGAACGGGUGAGUAACACGUGAGUAACCUGCCCUUGACUUUGGGAUAACUUCAGGAAACUGGGGCUAAUACCGGAUAGGAGCUCCUGCUGCAUGGUGGGGGUUGGAAAGUUUCGGCGGUUGGGGAUGGACUCGCGGCUUAUCAGCUUGUUGGUGGGGUAGUGGCUUACCAAGGCUUUGACGGGUAGCCGGCCUGAGAGGGUGACCGGCCACAUUGGGACUGAGAUACGGCCCAGACUCCUACGGGAGGCAGCAGUGGGGAAUAUUGCACAAUGGGCGGAAGCCUGAUGCAGCAACGCCGCGUGCGGGAUGACGGCCUUCGGGUUGUAAACCGCUUUCGCCUGUGACGAAGCGUGAGUGACGGUAAUGGGUAAAGAAGCACCGGCUAACUACGUGCCAGCAGCCGCGGUGAUACGUAGGGUGCGAGCGUCGUCCGGAUUUAUUGGGCGUAAAGGGCUCGUAGGUGGUUGAUCGCGUCGGAAGUGUAAUCUUGGGGCUUAACCCUGAGCGUGCUUUCGAUACGGGUUGACUUGAGGAAGGUAGGGGAGAAUGGAAUUCCUGGUGGAGCGGUGGAAUGCGCAGAUAUCAGGAGGAACACCAGUGGCGAAGGCGGUUCUCUGGGCCUUUCCUGACGCUGAGGAGCGAAAGCGUGGGGAGCGAACAGGCUUAGAUACCCUGGUAGUCCACGCUGUAAACGGUGGGUACUAGGUGUGGGGUCCAUUCCACGGGUUCCGUGCCGUAGCUAACGCUUUAAGUACCCCGCCUGGGGAGUACGGCCGCAAGGCUAAAACUCAAAGGAAUUGACGGGGCCCCGCACAAGCGGCGGAGCAUGCGGAUUAAUUCGAUGCAACGCGUAGAACCUUACCUGGGUUUGACAUGGAUCGGGAGUGCUCAGAGAUGGGUGUGCCUCUUUUGGGGUCGGUUCACAGGUGGUGCAUGCCUGUCGUCAGCUCGUGUCGUGAGAUGCUGGGUUAAGUCCCGCAACGAGCGCAACCCUUGUUCACUGUUGCCAGCACGUUAUGGUGGGGACUCAGUGGAGACCGCCGGGGUCAACUCGGAGGAAGGUGGGGAUGACGUCAAGUCAUCAUGCCCCUUAUGUCCAGGGCUUCACGCAUGCUACAAUGGCUGGUACAGAGAGUGGCGAGCCUGUGAGGGUGAGCGAAUCUCGGAAAGCCGGUCUCAGUUCGGAUUGGGGUCUGCAACUCGACCUCAUGAAGUCGGAGUCGCUAGUAAUCGCAGAUCAGCAACGCUGCGGUGAAUACGUUCCCGGGGCU
rnacentral:rRNA from 1 species